AAAUUAGGUUCCGCCGCCGUAGUAUAAACCAUAAACAACCGUAACUUAAAAAUUGUGAUUUCUGGGUCCCUAGGGUUUAGGCCACUGACGUCUUCUUCUUCACAAUAAUGGCAGCAAUCCUAAAACAAGCUAAUAAGAUCGCCAGACAAUUGUCGAAUCAAAAAUUGUUAACAGCAGCAAGUUUCAACGGUACGCGCUCUCCCUUGCCACGCGCCGUCGUCAGCGGCGGUCCUGUACGGUUUGCGUCGUCGACAUCAAGUUUCAGCUACCUCGAGAAGAAAACAGCUCCUCGACGAUUACCGGCGGUGUACAAAUUCCUCCUUCAAGCAGAUGAACGAACUCAUUCUACCGGAAAUGAACCUAUUCCGAAAAUAACCCUAAGUCAUGUUUCUGUGAGCUUUGCGGGAUAUGUUGACUCCAGAAGUCAUACAGAAGACACUAAUACAGCAAGCACAAAGACUAAGACAAACAAGCCUAACACGAAGAAAGGGAAGAAAGGAAAUCAGAAGCCAAAUACUAGUACAGCAAGCAAAGCUCGUGUUAGAAGUAUUAACACAGCUGGCACAAAAAUUAUUAUGAAGCUUGAUGUCAAAAAUGCUCAUUGGUUGAGUGAAAGAGUCAGGGAGAGGAUCAUGCUCAUGGAAAAGAGUCGGAUCAAGGAUGGGGAGCUUGUGCUUACUUCAACUAAGACUAGAAAACAAGAGAAUAAUUUUGAAGAUGUUGUGGCAAAAAAGCAGAAAUUGCUGGGGAAAUUUCAGGAAAUAAUCAAUGCUGCUUCAUAUGCUCCGCUGCCACCUUCUGACGGGCUUGCAAAAAAACUUUCUAAGUUGGCUGUCAUGGGGAAGGAAAAGAAUGCUGCAUGAAAAACAAGUGCAUAUAUAAAAGAAGUUAUAACUGAUGAUUGAUUUCUGAUAUCAAAAAUUUGCUGAACUCUGGCCAAUAGUUUCUUCUGCUGUUGAUUAUUAUUGAAAGACGUGGCGGAAGAGAUCCAUGUGCCAGUCCUAAAAAAAUCAAGAGCUAUUGUCGAAAGACUGGCACAUUGUUUCUUUUUAUCCACAUAUAACUAGAUGACAGUUUCACAGACGUCACGUAUUAGCUUCUAGCUGUUUUCACUCGUAUGGUUAUUGUAAUUUUCAUAGGCUGUAACCACAAAUUUCAUUGUUUCUAAGAGCAUGAACUUCAAGGGCUGUAAUAAAGAUUAAGGUAAGCUAGCAUGCUAUUGUUAUUUUCAUAGGCUGUAACCACAAGUUUCAUUGUUUCUAAGAGCACGAACUUCAAGGGCUGUAAUAAAAAUUAAGGUUCGAGCCGUAAUGCUUGUGUCAAGGUAGGAGGUUGCUUCUAUCACAUCCCUUGGAAUGUGGCCCUUCUUCGGAGUCUGCGUAAACAUGGGAUGUCCUUUUAUAUAGGCUGUCAGUGUCACCAUCUUCAUUAUUUAUGCUUUUAUUAGAACGACUUGGUUCUUGUAUCAGUAGUCUUCAGUUUUAAAUUCUGCCAACUAGUUACUAUCCGUGUACGAAUUCAGAUAGUUCCAUUUAUUGGUUCUUCCUACUUUGCAUA